GGGUGCGAUCAUACCAACGUUAAUGCACCAGAUCCCAUCAGAACUCCGCAGUUCAGCACGCUUGGGCCAGAGUAGUACUGGGACGAGUGACCUCUCGGGAAGUCCUAGUGUUGCACACU
rfam:Picea glauca, whole genome shotgun sequence.